GUGAAAGGGUAAGAGCUGAGGGUGGCUGAGACUCGGGGUUGUUCAGGGCGGGGUGGGCUCUGGACCCAGGAGGCCUGGCACCCAGGUCAGGGCUCCAGGGGAGGCCAGAUGGGCGAAGGCCAAGAAGGGGCCGGGGCUGGUCAGGAAGGGCUCCUGGUGACCAGAGCACUUUGCGUGAGCCAGCGUGGGAGGAAGGUGGGCUGGAUGAGCCAGGGAGGUGCCAGGAGGGGCCUUGGCAGAGGCGACCACCUCCGUCAGCCCCCAGGCCACUGAACCCUGGGUAGCGAGAACCGACAGGGGAGGCUGCAGACAGAGGAGUGGAGGCUCCCCUGCUUUGGGGGCUCUGAGUAGAAGCAUCUAGGGGGUCCCUCAAGAGGCCCCCAAACGCUUCCCCCGAGGAGCUCUACGGUGACUUUGAAGACUUGGAAACAGGGGACAUGCACAAGGGAAAAUCGGGCCCCGACACUCAGAAUGAAGAUAUAGAGAAACAAGGAAGAAAUUGACCCCGACGAAGAAGAAAGUGCCAAGAAAAAGCAUUUGGAUAAGAAGAGAAAAUUGAAGGAGAUGUUUGAUGCGGAAUAUGAUGAAGGAGAAAGCACAUAUUUUGAUGAUCUUAAAGGAGAAAUGCAGAAAGAAGCACAGCUGAAUCACGUAGAAUUUGAAGAUCAAGAUGAUGAAGCCAGAGUUCAGUAUGAUGGUUUUCGACCUGGGAUGUACGUCCGCGUUGAGAUUGAAAAUGUUCCCUGUGAAUUUGUGCAGAACUUUGACCCCCAUUACCCCAUUAUCCUGGGUGGCUUGGGCAACAGCGAGGGAAAUGUUGGACACGUGCAGAUGCGUCUGAAGAAACAUCGCUGGUAUAAGAAAAUCCUCAAGUCCCAAGAUCCAAUCAUAUUUUCUGUAGGGUGGAGGAGGUUUCAGACCAUCCUGCUCUAUUAUAUUGAAGACCACAAUGGAAGACAAAGGCUUCUAAAGUAUACCCCACAGCACAUGCAUUGUGGAGCAGCCUUUUGGGGUAAAAUAUGAUUACAAUAACUUGCCUAUUGCCGAGAUUAAACUUUACAGGCUGCGUUAUUUUAGCUUUGUGCUUUUCCUUUCAUAAAAUUCCACUCCUAAGAUGUUUCUGUUUUCUGGGAGCGGGGAGGUGGUUUGGAGUAUAUAUGUAAAUCUAUAUCCAAAUCUAAAUGUCCGUAUCCAGUAUGUUAAACUAGAAUCUAAAAUUUCUGGUUUGCUAUAUUUCUUUUUUUCCUUUUCCUUUAAGACCCUAUCACUCCACAGGGAACUGGUUUCUUGGCAAUACAGUCUGUCAGUGGCAUAAUGGUAACUAUCUUGGACAAUUUCUUUUACAGAUUGGUUUGAGAAAUAUAUCCUGAAUGUGGGUUAUUAUGUACAUGAGACUUUAAGUUGAAAAUUACUCAUUUUUAUUAUUAUAAAGUAAAUUUCCCUUUGCUUUUAA
rnacentral:lncRNA from 1 species